UCACAUCCCCAAUAGCAGUAUCAGGCCGAACAGGCCACAGAGUAGUGAUGUGUGAGUGAGUGCUUAUAGUGUUCUGAAUUCUGUCUCUCUUACUGUGGACCAGUGUGUGUCUCUCAGUGUUCUCUACAAAUAACUGGUGGCAGGGUGUGGAUCUCUUUGCUCAGUUGUGUCAAAGCUCUUACAGGUUUACUUUGGAAGUGGGGAGUGGCUUCGGUUCCUCACUGUGUCUGGGCAGCACUUUCAAGGACUGUCAAACCUGAGAAUGCUGAAGUUUUGGGUCAAUCUCAGGUUCGUCAGCCCAUGAAAAGCUGUCUCCAUCCAAUCCUAGUAUGAGCAGUAAAGUUUUAGUUUUUUGUGUCAUUUUUUAGCAAUGUGGUAAUUUUUGGUGACCUGAUUAGUGAUUUCAGAAGCGUUACAUCUACCUAUUUAUUUAAAAUUGUUAAUAUACAUUUUGCAUUACUAUAUGGAUUACAUACAAUUAAACCUACUCUUCAUUUAUAUAUGAAUUUAUUUGUUCCUGUUGAUCCUGCUUUUUUAUUAUUAAGGAGCAUGAUGUGUUAUGUUGUGACAUUUAUCACUUUGUAUUAUUUCUCAAUAUUGAAUGUUUAUUAAUUCACUGCAAAUGAAAAAUCUGGUUAACUGCCAAAAUAAAUGAUGUACACAUUCUUCAUCAGUUUAUUUAUUUAAUCCAUUUUAAAGGGCAGCUUAAUUGGGGUUUGUGGAGUUUACAACCAUUUAAAAUCCUUUGAACAUCAUCUAGUUUAACAAAUUCCUUGGGUAUUUCAUGCUCAUAAAGUUACCAGAACAAACUUUACUUCAUGAUACAGCAAAGUAAAUCUAUUGAGAGUAACAGACCUUUACAUUUGAGUAGCCCUGCCGUUUCACUGUAUAAUGGCAAGUUAGCAAUACAAAAAUGUCAAUUUCCUUAGUGUAGUGCAAAAUUAUGACAUAAUUUACACCACAAAACCAUUCUUUUGACAUAUUCCAUACUCUUCUAUUUAAUAAAAUCACACUAAGAUCACACAGCAUCACAUUUCUGGAUGUAUCUUUAAUGUAAUAGAAAGUACCUUUGAAAUACUGAGCACAUAACAUGGGGUUCAUACCUGCUACAUAACAGUUUUUUUGUGUUUGUCGAAGGCAUGGGGGUUGAGUUAAAAAAAAAAAAAAAGUCUUUAGUGUUAUUACAGCUGUGACUGUUAUGAACUAUGUUCUAUUUGAUAUUCAUAAAAAUAUUUACCAUAAUCAUAAAUAGCUGAAACCAGUAAACUAAUGUGAAUGGGAAUAAAAUAUUUUCGAACAUGCUGCAGUUAACAGUUGCCUUAAAUAAAUGCCUUUUUUAUUUUUAAAUAAAAAGAUUUCUCUAUAAAUCAGUGUAAAACUGUUUUGUUAUUAAUCAUCAUUAUUUUUGUCACCAUUAUGCCAUGCUGAGAUUUACAUUUCAAUUAAAUUAAAGUGAAAGAUCACAGCUACACUUGCUGUUCACAUAAUCUAAAAUUGCUGGAGCUCGGCACGGCUACCUUCCCUCCUCAUAAUUAGCUUUUCUGUCAGAGAGCACAGAAAAUGUAAUAUUGAAUUGUUUGUGGUAUUUUUGGUAUAGCCUGUUUCUUUGAUGGUUGUUUGCAAUUUGGCACAAAAAAAAGAAAAGAAAAAAACUGUUGACAGAAUGAGUGCAAAAAGAUUAUUUCAGAAUUUGAUGAAAAUUGAAAAAAGCAAAAGAA